UUACUUACCUGGCAGGGGCGAUGCGGGAAUCUCGACUGCAUAAUUUCUGGUAGUGGGGGACUACGUUCGUGCUCUCCCCUG
ensembl:snRNA U1 U1 spliceosomal RNA